UAUUUGUUAUGGUGAGAUGUUCUUUUGGGGACAUUUCUUUGAGAAAUAUGAAUGUUUACUUCGUUUUAGUCUGCUACCACCAGUAUGCUGCAUAUUUUUUAACACAGCACCAACAAGAUGGAGCAUUGUUACAAAGUCUGUAUAAUACAGAACGCUGCAGGACUUUUUAUGUACCAUACCCAUGCUAUGGACAGAAUUGAGUCAAGCUGUUGAACAUCCACAAUUUAUAAAGGGUUACGUGUAACACAGGAACCUCAGUACAGUGUGAGCCCCCCAACCUCCUGUUUUUUCGUACAAUCUCACAACAUAGCCAUUUACCCCAAGACAAGCGCAGAUCCU